rnacentral:lncRNA from 1 species
AGGCAGUGGAGUUGAAUGUGUACCCUGGGUGGAAACCAUGCGGAGAGCCUCUGCUAGCAAGGAAGAGCCCGUGUCCCGCAUGCCCGGGAUGAAAGGCUGCUGCAGCGGGGAGUCCAUCUCCAUGGAAAGCGGGGACGGUGGUGAAGGUGCCCAAGUCCUGGCAAAGGACAACAGCGCUCUGAGUGUAAGACUCCUCCCCGCCUCCCUGCCUCUCCUGCAUGCCCCUCCUCCUCCUCGCGGGGGCUAGCGCCGUGAGGACCCGCCUCCUCACGGCACCCCGAGUGGCUCUAGGCCCCCAUCCCACCCCGCAGGCCCCAAUCAUCUCCUUAGCGAAGCUUCUGCUUCUGGUUUUAGUAAUGAGGCGCUCCUGCUGGGACCCCAAUGGUCCCGGUGGGAGAGCUGGGGGUGGGGGACACGCUGGGGCCCCUUCCCCGCCCCCACUGCUGACUCUGAGGGUGCCUCGCCCGCCCCCUUCCAGAUCUCGGGGCUCUUCCAGCUGGACGACGGUUAUGAAACCUGCACCUGCCCGGCAGUUCUCCCGGAGAGCCCCCGAGGGGAGAGGGAAGAACGCGACGGGGCGGACAGGGCCGCGAGCAGCACCGAGGAGCGCGCUGCCCCGUGCCCGGGCGUGCGGGCUGCUCCUGCGGGGGAGACGACUGGUUUCCCCGCCAAGGCCGAGCAGGCGAGGGCAGGACGCCGGAGGCCCUCCUCCCUUGACCACUGACCCUCGCCGCCCACUGGCCUGGCGAGCGCCUUUUGUGUCCAGGGGCCGCGGGCGGAGGUGCCCCGGGCGGCGCCCGGGCUUAAGCAGAACGCGGCCUCGCGGGUCCUUGCGGCUGCGGGCCUGGCGACCGGCAGGGGGCGCCCGAGGGCCGCGCUGGGGUCUCCCGGGCCGGGAACCCGGAGCUUCGAGAAGGCGGCUGAAGACUGCAAGGCUGGAGCCCGCUGAACCUGAGCCCCCGAGGACGCAGCGCCCGGCCCCGGGGGCUCCGCGCUUCUUACAGACAGCGCUGUUGUGCUCAUCGCAGGUGCUCAGCAGCACCCCUGGCCUCUCCACUAGGGGCCAGCACGCGCCACCUCCGCUCCUCCAGCAUCGUAAAUGCCUUCGGACAGGGCCCAGGGUGCCCGGGCGUCCGCUAGGAAUGGGCUGAGAAUCGCUUCGCCCGACCCGAGCCGCGGAGCAGGCACGCCCGCGCUCACGUGGCAUUGGUGGCGGUCCCAGGACUGGCGGGUUUCAGGGACGGCUGGUCGCAGGUUGCUUCGGAGGGGGUUUGCCAUUUGCAUCUAGAUUUCUUAGUCUUUGAAUUCAUUAAGUUAUUUUAUUUCCAUCUUUCUAGUUAAUUUUUUGAUAGCUUCAGUCACCUGUUGAUGCUUAUUUUACUUUCAAGAUCAUUCGGUUUUCGAGUUAUUUAUUUUCAGUUAUAGCUAUUUUCAGAGUUACAGGUUUUCAAACUGGCUUAGAAGUAUUUAUUUUCAAUUAUUCUUAUGAUUAUUAACAUCUGUGUUGUUUCUUAGCCUUCGGUUCCUGGCGUCGUUGAGUUCUAAUUUUUACAGUUAUUAUUAAAAAACACUGGAAGUUUUUGAACGACUUGAGUUAUUUACUUUCAGGGUGAAAUGGUUUUAUUUAGGCUUUUUCCUAGUUAUUUAGUUUUGCAGUUGCUUAUGUUCAUAGGAUUUUUUCCCAGUUAUUUUCUGAGUUUACUUUUAUACUAUGGCUCUUAAUUAAUUUUCAGCUGUUUCCUUUUUGAAUAUUAUAUUUUUAGACGUUUUAUCCUUGGUGCUGUUGAUAUCUUUAGUGUUUAUUUUCAGUUGCUUAUUCUCCUUUUUUUUUUUUUGUUCUGUCUUAUUUUUACAUAUUUCGUUCUCAGAAGUACUUGGAAUUAGAAUUAUUUCACCUGCCAGUCAGGAUUGAAGCAGGAGAGACAGUGCACCUGUUGUUUUAACAGAGAACUUGACAUAAAGAAGCGCAGCUGCUGCGGAACAAGAGUGUGGCCGGGCACAG